GACGAACGCUGGCGGCGUGCUUAACACAUGCAAGUCGAACGGAAAGGCCCUGCUUUUGUGGGGUGCUCGAGUGGCGAACGGGUGAGUAACACGUGAGUAACCUGCCCUUGACUUUGGGAUAACUUCAGGAAACUGGGGCUAAUACCGGAUAGGAGCUCCUGCUGCAUGGUGGGGGUUGGAAAGUUUCGGCGGUUGGGGAUGGACUCGCGGCUUAUCAGCUUGUUGGUGGGGUAGUGGCUUACCAAGGCUUUGACGGGUAGCCGGCCUGAGAGGGUGACCGGCCACAUUGGGACUGGGAUACGGCCCAGACUCCUACGGGAGGCAGCAGGGGGGAAUAUUGCACAAUGGGCGGAAGCCUGAUGCAGCAACGCCGCGUGCGGGAUGACGGCCUUCGGGUUGUAAACCGCUUUCGCCUGUGACGAAGCGUGAGUGACGGUAAUGGGUAAAGAAGCACCGGCUAACUACGU
rnacentral:rRNA from 1 species